CACGUGGGGAACCUGCCCCAUAGUCUGGGAUACCACUUGGAAACAGGUGCUAAUACCGGAUAAGAAAGCGGAUCGCAUGAUCAGCUUUUAAAAGGCGGCGUAAGCUGUCGCUAUGGGAUGGCCCCGCGGUGCAUUAGCUAGUUGGUAAGGUAAAGGCUUACCAAGGCGAUGAUGCAUAGCCGAGUUGAGAGACUGAUCGGCCACAUUGGGACUGAGACACGGCCCAAACUCCUACGGGGAGGCAGCAGGC
rnacentral:rRNA from 1 species